UACGGAGGGUGCGAGCGUUGUCCGGAAUCACUGGGCGUAAAGGGCGCGUAGGCGGCCUGAUAAGUAGGGGGUGAAAUCCUGCGGCUUAACCGCAGGGCUGCCUUCUAAACUGUCAGGCUCGAGCACAGUAGAGGCAGGUGGAAUUCCCGGUGUAGCGGUGAAAUUCGUAGAUAUCGGGAGGAACACCAGUGGCGAAGGCGGCGACCUGGGCCAAUAUUGACGCUGAGGUGCGAAAGCGUGGGGAGCAAACAGG
rnacentral:rRNA from 1 species